UACGUAGGGUGCAAGCGUUAAUCGGAAUUUACUGGGCGUAAAGCGUGCGCAGGCGGUUGUGCAAGACAGAGGUGAAAUCCCCGGGCUUAACCUGGGAAUGGCCUUUGUGACUGCACGGCUAGAGUGUGGUAGGGGAGACUGGAAUUCCUGGUGUAGCGGUGAAAUGCGCAGAUAUCAGGAGGAACACCGAUGGCGAAGGCAGCUCGCUGGGACG
rnacentral:rRNA from 1 species